ACAGCGAAACCUGCGAAUGGGCUCAUUAAAUCAGUUAUCGUUUAUUUGAUAGUACCUUACUACUUGGAUAACCCGUGGUAAUUCUAGAGCUAAUACAUGCUAAAAACCCCGACUCACGAAGGGGUGUAUUUAUUAGAUUAAAAACCAAUGCCCUUUCGGGGCUCUUUGGUGAUUCAUAAUAACUUUUCGAAUCGCAUGGCCUUGCGCCGGCGAUGGUUCAUUCAAAUUUCUGCCCUAUCAACUUUCGAUGGCAGGGUCUUGGCCUGCCAUGGUUACAACGGGUAACGGAGGGUUAGGGCUCGACCCCGGAGAAGGAGCCUGAGAAACGGCUACUACAUCCAAGGAAGGCAGCAGGCGCGCAAAUUACCCAAUCCCGAUUCGGGGAGGUAGUGACAAUAAAUACUGAUACAGGGCUCUUUUGGGUCUUGUAAUUGGAAUGAGUACAAUUUAAAUCCCUUAACGAGGAACAAUUGGAGGGCAAGUCUGGUGCCAGCAGCCGCGGUAAUUCCAGCUCCAAUAGCGUAUAUUAAAGUUGUUGCAGUUAAAAAGCUCGUAGUUGAACCUUGGGCCUGGCUGGCCGGUCCGCCUCACCGCGUGCACUGGUUCGGCCGGGCCUUUCCCUCUGGGGAACCUCAUGGUCUUCACUGAUCGUGAUGGGGAACCAGGACUUUUACUGUGAAAAAAUUAGAGUGUUCAAAGCAGGCCUAUGCUCGAAUACAUUAGCAUGGAAUAAUAAAAUAGGACGUGUGGUUCUAUUUUGUUGGUUUCUAGGACCGCCGUAAUGAUUAAUAGGGACAGUCGGGGGCAUCAGUAUUCAAUUGUCAGAGGUGAAAUUCUUGGAUUUAUUGAAGACUAACUACUGCGAAAGCAUUUGCCAAGGAUGUUUUCAUUAAUCAGGAACGAAAGUUAGGGGAUCGAAGACGAUCAGAUACCGUCGUAGUCUUAACCAUAAACUAUGCCGACUAGGGAUCGGACGGUGUUACUUAUUGACCCGUUCGGCACCUUACGAGAAAUCAAAG
rnacentral:rRNA from 1 species